UUUUUUUUUUUUUUUUAAUGACAGUAGUAUGUAGGAAGAGAGUAGUCAUUUAAAUGUGGUAGAAACUGUCCAGAGAGCUAGGAUGGAAGCUGAAACUGGGGUGGGGUACUGUGAGUGGAAAAUAAUCAAGAGAUAAUUUGCUAAAAGAGGAGAUGGACCACAAGAAAUUCUAAGGUUUCAAGCCUAUGUGGCUAUGAUAACCAUGGUUCCACUGACAAAAACAAAUCCAAAGGGAAAGCAGGUUGAUGUUCAAAAGAGCAGGGUCAGCAACCAAGAAUGAACAUGUGAAGAGGAAGGUUCAACCUCUAACUCAUCUGCCACCACCAACUAUAUGGAAAAUUAUACACUUUCUCCUUUUACCUGCUCAAUAGUGGGAAAAGAUUCAUAUUCUAAACUUGUUUUUGAUCAUACUACAUGAUUUACUGAUUUACUGGUAUUCGCCCUAAAGAAUCAUACUGCAUGAUGUAAUCAUUUAUUGGCAUUUACUGUACAGAAAUCUGAAGGCAUUUUCCUUAAGAAUACUCAUUUAAAAGUCCAAAAGCAGAUCUAGCUUAAAGCCUCAGAAUCCAGUCUUGAUACAGAACCCAUAAAACAACCACCUCCACCCUUCAGCUCAUCAGCCAAGCUCAAGCCCCUCUGACCUCUAAGUCUCAUUACAGAUUCAGUCUUUGCCUCAAAAACAAUGGGAAGAAUUUUAAACAUCAAUCCCUUCCCUUUCCCAGUCACCCCCAUGCCCAAUAAGCCUUGCAAGCUUGUCACCUGCAAAGUUAACAGAAUUUUCUAUGUUCUAUCCAAAGAAUGAACAUCACAUUCUUUCCUGAUAUGUAAUUUUAGUACAAUCGGUCACUAUAAUGUCUAAUUUGGACUGCAGCAGGGAGUUCCCUGGUGGCUUGGUGGGUUAAGGGUUCAGUGUUGUCACUGCUGUGGCUCUGAUUACAGCUGUGGCUUGGGUUUGAUCUCUGGCCUGGGAACUUCAAAUUUUAUGGCGUGAACAUUAAAAAAAAAAAAGGAAUAUGUAUAUGUGUUCGGAUAAACUGAAGCUGGAAGAUGUUAAUACUAUGUAGGACAACCUAUCUGUUCUUAGAUAUCAAUGAUCUUAAGUAUAUAAAGGGAGAUGGCAAAGCAAAGGGGUACAGUGCAAAGACUCAAUGCAGAUUCUCUGAGUUUGAAAUUCUCACUACUUAAAUCUUGGCAAGUUAACAUCUCUGUAACUCAAUUUUUCCAUCUAUAAAAUGGAAACAAUAGUGCACGGCCUACUAAAAAAUGGAUUAAAGCACUUUCAGUGUUCAAAUUCAGGUCUGAUUGUUAUUAUACCUGAGCAUCCAGCUCUAAGUUAUCAUUUACCACAGUUGACUUCUUAUUUACUGAUGGAACUUAUACAUAGCUCUAGAUCAAGGGAGGUAGGGCAUAAGGAUAGGUAAACUUUUUCUGCAAAGGCUAGACAAUACUAUUUUCAGCCUUGCUGGUCAGAUGGUCUGUUUGUAACUACUCAAUUUUGCUAUUGUAGCACAAAAGCAGCCAGAGAUAACAUGUAAACAAAUGAGCGUGGUAGUAGCUCUGCUCCACCAACACUUUACAGAAACUGAAAUUGAAUUCUAUAUAAUUUUGCUACUGAGUAUUAUUCUUCUUUUGAUUUUUUUCAAUCUUUUAAAAACGUAAAAGCUAUACUCGGUUGGAAGGCCACCCAAAAAUAGGCAGUUGGGGUGGGGGAGGGUUCCCGAUGUAGCGCUAAAGGAUUGGCAACAUCUCUGUAGCGCCAGGACAUUGGUUCAAUCCCCAACCUAGCACGGUGAGUUAAAGGAUCUGGUAUUGAUGCAGCUGCGACAUAGGUCACAAUUGUGGCUCAGAUCUGGUCCCUGGUCCAGGAACUCCAUAUGCCUCAGGGUAGCCGAAAAAAAAAAAAAGGCACAACCAUUGAAAUUAGUCUUCAAAGAUACCAUCUCUCAUGGUUUUUCACUUAAAUCCAGGUAGAAACUUAUUCCUAUAAGGGAGUUUAAACUGGUCUAUCUCUAGGCAAAAAAA
rnacentral:lncRNA from 1 species